GGAAGUCAAGAUGUUUAAAGUUCCUGCGGGGUGUGCUAGUGUGUGGACCGGGGGAGCAGUAGAAGAGACCAGUGAGGAGAAGGUGGAAUGACUUCUACAGUUUUCAGCAGUGGAUGUGCUGCUGAAUCUGAAUGUAACUUCCAGGGAAAUCUCGAUGUGACUGAAGCUAUAAAAAGGACGGCCAAUACUUGCUGCUCUACUGACUACUGCAUUCCUCCUGUUCCUCUUUAUUAUCCAGCAGUUCUGAGACCAAUGGCCUGGUGUGUCCAUCAUGCGAGUCUGAUUCUGUCUCCAAGUGUGACUCUUCAGCAACCGUAGCUUGUACUGGUAAUAAUACUAAAAGUCUUUUCCUGACAAGAAAUACAACAGGUACAAGAUGCCGACUAAGAUGAUUGCCAUCGUUUAUGUCAUCCUAAUCUUGGGGAAGGAGUUCUACGCCGAGCCGAUUGCUGUGCCAGGUCCUUCAUCCAGGAUCAUGCUGCAGGACACCGCAGGAUUCAUACUGACGAAGAAGAGGAUUCUAUCCCAGAAAAUCUACAUCAGC